UACGUAGGGGGCAAGCGUUGUCCGGAUUUAUUGGGCGUAAAGAGCUCGUAGGCGGUUGGGCAAGUCACGUGUGAAAUCUCCACGCUUAACGUGGAGGCGCCACGUGAGACUGCCCUGACUCGAGUCCGGUAGGGGAGCGUGGAAUUCCCGGUGUAGCGGUGAAAUGCGCAGAGAUCGGGAGGAACACCCGUAGCGAAGGCGGCGCUCUGGGCCGGUACUGACGCUGAGGAGCGAAAGCGUGGGGAGCAAACAGG
rnacentral:rRNA from 1 species